AGAGGCUACUGCUAUCGGGGGUUCGAUUAAGCCAUGCGAGUUAAAUGUUCUUCGUGAACAUAGCGAACUGCUCAGUAACACGUGGAUAACCUACCCUUAGGACCGGAAUAACCCCGGGAAACUGGGGAUAACACCGGAUAAGCCAUAGACGCUGGAAUGCCCUAUGGUUCAAAGCUCCGGCGCCUAAGGAUGGAUCUGCGGUCUAUCAGGUUGUAGUGGGUGUAACGUACCUACUAGCCGACGACGGAUACGGGUUGUGAGAGCAAGAGCCCGGAGAUGGAUUCUGAGACACGAAUCCAGGCCCUACGGGGUGCAGCAGGCGCGAACACUUUACAAUGCGGGAAACCGCGAUAAGGGAACCCCGAGUGCCAGCAUCAAAUGUUGGCUGUCCGGAUGAUUAAAAAUCAUUUGUUAGCAAGGGCCGGGCAAGACCGGUGCCAGCCGCCGCGGUAACACCGGCGGCCCGAGUGGUAGCCGUUUUUAUUGGGUCUAAAGGGUCCGUAGCCGGCCUGAUAAGUCCUUUGGGAAAUCUGGCAGCUUAACUGUCAGGCUUCUAAGGGAUACUGUCAGGCUUGGGACCGGAAGAGGUAAGGGGUACUCCAGGGGUAGGAGUGAAAUCUUGUAAUCCCUGGGGGACCAUCUGUGGCGAAGGCGCCUUACCAGAACGGGUCCGACGGUGAGGGACGAAAGCUAGGGGAGCAAACCGGAUUAGAUACCCGGGUAGUCCUAGCUGUAAACGAUGCUCGCUAGGUGUCAGACACGGUGCGACCGUGUUUGGUGCCGCAGGGAAGCCGUUAAGCGAGCCACCUGGGAAGUACGGUCGCAAGGCUGAAACUUAAAGGAAUUGGCGGGGGAGCACUACAACGGGUGGAGCCUGCGGUUU
rnacentral:rRNA from 1 species